rnacentral:rRNA from 1 species
ACACUCCUGCGGGAGGCAGCAGUGGGGAAUAUUGGACAAUGGGCGCAAGCCUGAUCCAGCCAUGCCGCGUGAGUGAUGAAGGCCCUAGGGUUGUAAAGCUCUUUCACCGGUGAAGAUAAUGACGGUAACCGGAGAAGAAGCCCCGGCUAACUUCGUGCCAGCAGCCGCGGUAAUACGCAGGGGGCUAGCGUUGUUCGGAUUUACUGGGCGUAAAGCGCACGUAGGCGGACUAUUAAGUCAGGGGUGAAAUCCCGGGGCUCAACCCCGGAACUGCCUUUGAUACUGGUAGUCUUGAGUUCGAGAGAGGUGAGUGGAAUUCCGAGUGUAGAGGUGAAAUUCGUAGAUAUUCGGAGGAACACCAGUGGCGAAGGCGGCUCACUGGCUCGAUACUGACGCUGAGGUGCGAAAGCGUGGGGAGCAAACAGGAUUAGAUACCCCAGUAGUCCCAUGA